rnacentral:rRNA from 1 species
UACGUAGGGACCGAGCGUUGUCCGGAUUCAUUGGGCGUAAAGAGCUCGUAGGCGGUUUGUCGCGUCGACUGUGAAAACCCGAGGCUUAACCUCGGGCCUGCAGUCGAUACGGGCAGACUAGAGUUCGGUAGGGGAGACUGGAAUUCCUGGUGUAGCGGUGAAAUGCGCAGAUAUCAGGAGGAACACCGGUGGCGAAGGCGGGUCUCUGGGCCGAUACUGACGCUGAGGAGCGAAAGCGUGGGGAGCGAACAGG